rnacentral:rRNA from 2 species
GGUGUGUAAGCGCAGCGAUGCGUUGAGCUAACCGAUACUAAUGAACCGUGAGGCUUAACCUUACAACGCCGAAGGUGUUU